UACGUAGGGUGCAAGCGUUGUCCGGAAUUAUUGGGCGUAAAGAGCUCGUAGGCGGCGUGUCGCGUCGGAUGUGAAAGCCCGGGGCUUAACUCCGGGUCUGCAUUCGGUACGGGCAUGCUGGAGUUCGGUAGGGGAGACUGGAAUUCCUGGUGUAGCGGUGAAAUGCGCAGAUAUCAGGAGGAACACCGGUGGCGAAGGCGGGUCUCUGGGCCGAUACUGGCGCUGAGGAGCGAAAGCGUGGGGAGCGAACAGG
rnacentral:rRNA from 1 species